rnacentral:lncRNA from 1 species
CAGAUUGCCUGGGCAGAGACGGCAGGGAAGUCUCAGAGAAGCGGAAAUGUUCUAUAUUGUGAUGAGAUGUUGGGUUACGUGGGUGUAUCCACGCGUCAAACUUGUCCGGCUAAGAUUUCUGCAUUUCAGCAGAUGUAUGUUUUCCCUCUAAGAAAGAACCGUAAAUAUAAUGAUGGUGAUAGCUGAGUGCAGGUGCAGAGUGGGUGGAGGGAUGGGUGAUAAAAGAAGGCAGAUUGUUGAUAAAUGUUGAAGCGUGGUGAUGAGCAUGGAGGAGCCCAUGAUAUAUUUUGUUUACUUUGUGUAUGUUAGAGAUUUUCAAAAAAAAAAAAAAAAUCAAACGCUUGAAAUGAAAAAAGUAAAGGCGCAUGGAAAUGAUGCUCUCUUCUCUGUCUUCCUUGCUGGUGGUAGACUUCCUGGCUCUGUCGUCUGUCCUUCCAAGUGACUGGUCGAAGUGUGUGCAAAGAUCCUGAGAUUCAGGCUUCGAGAAGACUUGCCGCUGUGGUUCCACAGCGCUGAUGUAUCAUGGACAUUCAACCCUCAGUCCAACUGCCACUAGCAAACUUGGGUGUGUGUCUCGUUGCUCAAAUCUUGCUCUGGGAUUCGAUCCAGGGACACAAAUAAAGCCACCUUUCCAUCUUUGCCAGAGAGCACACUUCAUUCUGUUUUCCGCUGUGAAGACUCGGCACCCUGCAUGGCCUCCUCACACUUGCCCCAAGUAG